rnacentral:rRNA from 1 species
UACGGAAGGCAGCAGUGGGGAAUAUUGCACAAUGGGCGAAAGCCUGAUGCAGCUAUGCCGCGUGUAUGAAGAAGGCCUUAGGGUUGUAAAGUACUUUCAUCGGGGAGGAAAAACAAAACUAAUAAUUUUAUUUCUUGACGUUACCCGAAAAAGAAGCACCGGCUAACUCCGUGCCAGCAGCCGCGGUAAUACGGAGGGUGCUAGCGUUAAUCAGAAUUACUGGGCGUAAAGAGCACGUAGGUGGUUUUUUUAAGUCAGAUGUGAAAUCCCUGGGCUUAACCUGGAACUGCAUUUUGAAACUGAAAUACUAGAGUAUCGUAGAGGGAGGUAGAAUUCUAGGUGUAGCGGUGAAAUGCGUAGAUAUCUGGAGGAAUACCUGUGGCGAAAGCGGCCUCCUAAACGAAUACUGACACUGAGGUGCGAAAGCGUGGGGAGCAAAACAGGGAUUAGAUACCCUCUGAGACU